rnacentral:rRNA from 1 species
UACGGAGGGAGCUAGCGUUGUUCGGAAAUACUGGGCGUAAAGCGCGUGUAGGUGGCUUGGUGUGUCAGAUGUGAAAUCCCUGGGCUCAACCCAGGAACUGCACCUGAAACUACCAGUCUUGAGUGGUGGAGAGGGAAGUGGAAUUCCUGGUGUAGAGGUGAAAUUCGUAGAUAUCAGGAGGAACACCAGUGGCGAAGGCGGCUGCCUGGACACUAACUGACGCUGAGACGCGAAAGCGUGGGGAGCAAACAGG